UACGUAGGGUGCAAGCGUUAAUCGGAUUUACUGGGCGGAAAGCGCGCGUAGGUGGCCAAUUAAGUCAAAUGUGAAAUCCCCGAGCUUAACUUGGGAAUUGCAUUCGAUACUGGUUGGCUAGAGUAUGGGAGAGGAUGGUAGAAUUCCAGGUGUAGCGGUGAAAUGCGUAGAGAUCUGGAGGAAUACCGAUGGCGAAGGCAGCCAUCUGGCCUAAUACUGACACUGAGGUGCGAAAGCAUGGGGAGCAAACAGG
rnacentral:rRNA from 1 species